rnacentral:rRNA from 1 species
UACGUAGGGUGCGAGCGUUAAUCGGAAUUACUGGGCGUAAAGCGUACGCAGGCGGCUGCGCAAGACAGGUGUGAAAUCCCCAGGCUUAACCUGGGAACUGCAUUCGAGACUGCAUUGCUAGAGUAUGGGAGAGGGAAGUGGAAUUUCCGGUGUAGCGGUGAAAUGCGUAGAUAUCGGAAGGAACAUCAGUGGCGAAAGCGACUUCCUGGACCAAUACUGACGCUCAUGUGCGAAAGCGUGGGGAGCAAACAGG